rnacentral:rRNA from 1 species
GUAGGGUGCGAGCGUUGCCCGGAUCUAUUGGGCGUAAAGGGCGCGUAGGCGGCUACGCACGUCCGUUGUGAAAUCGCUCGGCUCAACUGGGCGGGGUCAGCGGAUACGGUGUAGCUGGAGCAAGCUAGGGGGCAAUGGAAUUCCCGGUGUAGUGGUGGAAUGCGUAGAUAUCGGGAGGAACACCAGUGGCGAAGGCGGUUGCCUGGAGCUUUGCUGACGCUGAGGCGCGAAAGCGUGGGGAGCGAUCCGGAUUAGAUACCCGGGUAGUCCACGCCGUAAACGAUGUCGACUAGGUGUCGGGGGUAUCGACCCCCUCGGCGCCGCAGCUAACGCAUUAAGUCGACCGCCUGGGGACUACGGCCGCAAGGCUA